rnacentral:rRNA from 1 species
UCUACGGGAGGCAGCAGUGGGGGAUAUUGCACAAUGGGGGAAACCCUGAUGCCGCGAUGCCGCGUGAAUGAAGACGGCCUUCGGGUUGUACAGUUCUGUCGCCGGGGACGAAAAUGACGGUACCCUGCAAGCACUCUCCGGCUAACUACGUGCCAGCAGCCGCGGUAAUACGUAAGUAGCCAGCGUUGUCCGGAAUUACUGGGUGUAAAGUGAGCGUAGGCGGGAGGAUAAGUUGAAUGUGAAAUCUAUGGGCUCAACCCAUAGCUGCGUUCAAAACUGUUCUUCUUGAGUGAAGUAGAGGCAGGCGGAAUUCCUAGUGUAGCGGUGAAAUGCGUAGAUAGUAGGAGGAACACCAGUGGCGAAGGCGGCCUGCUGGGCUUUGACUGACGCUGAGGCUCGAAAGCGUGGGUAGCAAACAGGAUUAGAUACCCGAGUAGUC